rnacentral:rRNA from 1 species
AGUGAACGCCGGCGGUAGGCCUAACACAUGCAAGUCGAACGGCAGCACAGUAAGAGCUUGCUCUUACGGGUGGCGAGUGGCGGACGGGUGAGGAAUACAUCGGAAUCUACUUUUUCGUGGGGGAUAACGUAGGGAAACUUACGCUAAUACCGCAUACGACCUACGGGUGAAAGCAGGGGAUCUUCGGACCUUGCGCGAUUGAAUGAGCCGAUGUCGGAUUAGCUAGUUGGCGGGGUAAAGGCCCACCAAGGCGACGAUCCGUAGCUGGUCUGAGAGGAUGAUCAGCCACACUGGAACUGAGACACGGUCCAGACCCCUACGGGAGGCAGAAGAGGGGAAUAUUGGACAAGGGGCGCAAGCCUGAUCCAGCCAUACCGCGUGGGUGAAGAAGGCCUUCGGGUUGUAAAGCCCUUUUGUUGGGAAAGAAAAGCAGCAGGUUAAUACCCCGCUGUUCUGACGGUACCCAAAGAAUAAGCACCGGCUAACUUCGUG